CGAUAAUAAACACCAUAAAUCUCUAACUUAUUCCAUGCUAAAUAUGGUAAGGUAAAACUGCGCCCUCUGGGCAAAAGCUAAAAUGGCCAGAUAGCAUCGCAUGGUGUGUACCUACCGACCGAGAUUCCCCAGCAGUCGGUCGACGGCAGCAUGAACGUUUCCUCCAGUGGCAUUCAGGGCGCGGAUGUUCUCCUGUGUGUCAUAGAAACCCAUUUCCUGAAGCUGGGAUAGCUGUGUCGCAUAGAGUUCUUCAGGAGGCACGUUCGAGGUAUUAGAAUUUGGAAUGCCCAGGCCACCAGCUCCAAGUCCACCAAACAUGUUCAUCAAAAAGUCCAGCCCUAUGGGGUUCGGAGCCCCUGUACCACCACCUGUUUGGUUCUGUUCCUGGCUCGACGGUUGUCGACCCAACUGGGAGAGAAGCGAUUGGUUGAAUGACAGGAGUUGCUGCAUUGUCUCGGGCGAUGAAAUCUGCCGAAGAAGUUCGGGAUUUUGCAUCAUUUCGCGCAAUUGCGGAUUCGAAUCCAUUAGAUUACGGAGUUGAGGAUUAAGACCAAGAAUCUGAUUCAUGUACUGAGGGUUGGUGAGGAG
rnacentral:misc_RNA from 1 species